GACGUAGGAGGCGAGCGUUGUCCGGAUUCAUUGGGCGUAAAGAGCACGCAGGCGGUUUGGCAAGUCGGAUGUGAAAACCCGGAGCUCAACUCCGGGCCUGCAUCCGAUACUGCCCGACUAGAGGUAGGUAGGGGAGAUCGGAAUUCCUGGUGUAGCGGUGAAAUGCGCAGAUAUCAGGAGGAACACCGGUGGCGAAGGCGGAUCUCUGGGCCUUACCUGACGCUCAGGUGCGAAAGCUAGGGGAGCGAAC
rnacentral:rRNA from 1 species